rnacentral:rRNA from 1 species
UACGAAGGGUGCAAGCGUUACUCGGAAUUACUGGGCGUAAAGCGUGCGUAGGUGGUUCGUUAAGUCUGAUGUGAAAGCCCCUGGGCUCAACCUGGGGAAUGGCAUUGGAAACUGGCGACCUAGAGUGCGGUAGAGGGUAGUGGAAUUCCCGGUGUAGCAGUGAAAUGCGUAGAGAUCGGGGAGGAACAUCCGUGGCGAAG